rnacentral:lncRNA from 1 species
UGUGGAGGCCUUCAUGGAGCUUGGCCUCCAAAAGCAAUUUCCUGCUUCAACUUUCUUAUAAUUUCGUAGUGCUUAGUUAAAGCAUAUUUUUAUUUCGCUACAACAAUUUUGGAAAAAGCAUCAACCAUUCAGUUCAAGCUUAGGCCUUCAGCAUUACAGCAAGGGCCAACACCACAAUAACAGCAGUAAAAUCCAGUGAACCUACUCCAUUUCAUCGACAGACCGAGCACAUAACGAAACUAAGCAACAGAUACUCCAGACAGAGCACAUAACGAAACUAAGCAACAGAUACUCCACUAGGAAGCACAUCAGCAGAGCGAAAGACAUGACAGGCAGGUUGUUCUCUGUUUCCAGCACACAUAUCUACAAACAAGGCGGCACAUCAGCGGGGACUGACAGGGUAUGCAAGCUUCUGAUCUCGUCAGGCCCCAAUACCACCGGCUGCGGCGAAGACUGCUUCAGACCCUACUUGCUCUUGCUGCUCUUCGCCCGGAGCUCCGCGGCUCCAGCCUUGAUGCUGGACUUGGCGAGCGACGUGGGUUUCAGGACGCUCUUCGGGUUCAAUGCCUGCCGGAGCUUGAACACAGCCCACGCCGUUCCGAUGGCGUGGCCUGCCGC